ACAAGCCUCGAAGCCUGGCUUCAGAUAGCCCAUCACUAGCAGCUACCACGAUUUUUGUAUUGUACACUUCCUCAGAAACACAUAUGUGGCGCUUGGUCAAAGUUUUUCAUCGACGUUCUGACUGCAGCCGAGUUAGCAGCUUCUGGAAAGGCUGUGCAUCAGUAAUUAGUCGUGUUUCUUGUCAGUAAUUAGCCGUGUCCUUUGUUUGAUGUGUUCGUGCUGUGUUCCGUUUCUGGUUGCCGGUGACAAAUGCAAUUUCACUGUUAAAGAAAUUAUAUAUGUACUUACAUAUAUGUGUAUAUACUUACUCGGAUACAUCUACGCUCUUGGUUUAAAAAAUGUUUAGUCGGCUUAUCUGUUAUUCAUAGCCAAUAUGAUACAAACUGUUUUAAUAAGAGGCACUGCCACACUGUUUUAGACAACUUAUGAAAACUUUAAAGAUGUCCAUGUUAAUGAUGGAAUGUAAAAAAAAAAAAAAUAUUUCUCUUGGGUGGGUAUAUACUGUAAUGUUAAUAAAUUGAUCAAAUACAUAACUUUUAGUAGUAAUUUAGGCAUAAAAACACUCAUAAAACAUAGUAUGACAGUGCUGUAAGAUUUUAGUUUACUACAGUCAAUUAGAUCUUUGAAUUUCAAAGAUUUGCCUUGCCCCACAAUGCUGUUACUGAUUAUUUAAAAUGUUAAAAUACUUUUUUGUUUUGUUUUUCAUAGAUUUUUUUUAUUAAGUUCAUUGUUAUAUUGAGUAACAAGUUAAGUUAAUUGAGAAGAUCAAGUAAAUAUUUUAUUUCUUUUACUGUCAAAGUGCAACGCCCAUUUAGUCAGUGAUUCCUUUAAAUUGUUUUAAAACCUUGUGUUAUCAUUAACCCAAUAUUUUGUCUCGUCCAUCAUUAAGACAAACAUGGAGGUGAAGCGCAAGAUAAUGGAGGCUGAAAUGAAAUGCAGAAGACCCAAAUCAUCAUCAGCUGCUUGAGGAUUUGAUGGUUGCUACAUUUUCUCAGUGUAGGAAAGACAUUGCAGGAGAUCAACCACACAUCACAGAGCUCAUCUCCCGAUGGCCUGCUCUGUUCCUUGAGAGACAGAUUAGGGCAGAAUUUACAAGAAUCGUCACCGCAGACCUUCUGGAACCUUCUGGACUUGAUGGCCUUGUUCUGAGACUGCUGGAGGUCUACAAAGUAGCAACCAAAUCUGGAAAGAAGCAGCCACUCAAAGACAUUUUGGACUGCCUUGCAAAAGAUGACACAAAUGAAAGGAGAAGGGCUGCUGCUCUGCUAGGUUUGCCACGCUACAUAUCUGGGAAGAUCCAUCAACUGUCAUCAGGAUGUGUGAUGUAAGACUAACAAAUAUUACAAAAACUGUUUACAUAUUUACCUAUUCCUCUUUGUUGCUAUCAUUUCCUAAAAAUCUUUUUGUAGCAUUUGUGUUUGCAAAAACUUUUUUUUUAGUCCUUGUUAAGAGACAUUACUUCCUGUUUACUACAGCCAUGCAUAACAUCAAAAUUUGAUGUAAUUACUUUGUGUAUCCUGAUUGAUGUUGCUCAUAGCCAGUUGAUGGAAACAUGCCUUAUUCGCAUUUUCUAAAUGUUAAUACUAAUGGUUAUGCACUAAAACAUUUAGCAUUGUGCUGAAUUUGUGAAAAAACCUCUCUCUCAGGGUUUUUGUGAGUUUGUUGAAACACUGAUCGUUUUGCACUUUUUGGACUGUUUUUGAGAGAUGGUAGCUAGUUGUAUUGACUUUGCACUGCCACUGUUCAACGUGGUUAGAAUGUUUUUAAAACAAUGGUCUAAUUUCUAUGGAGGACUGAAACUCUCCUAUAAAAUACACUUAAAAUGCACCAAUUAAAUAAAUAAGAGAACUUCACCUCAUAUCUUAUAAUUUACCUUGAUAUUUUUCCAGCUUAGUUCCUACAAACUAUAUUUUUUAGCACAUAAUUUAAUACAUAUGGGUGUUUGUCCUUUACUUGUAGAUGCAUUCAUGUUUUAAGUGUCUGUGUGUCCCCUUCCCCCAAGUCUUUUUAAUUGUUAUUUUUACAUAUCUCUGUCUUGUGUUAGGCUUUAUUUUGCAAAUAAGGUGUGCUGUCUUUCUUGGGUCAGCUCCUCCACUGUUGGUCAGCAGACAGGAAGGAGCAGAAUCCAUGUGCAGAUCUGUUGACCAAUAGUUGAACUUACCCAAGAAAGACAGUCCCCCUUAAGAUGGUCUCCACAGCCAGCUGACAUUAGAAAAAUGUCUCUGCCCACCUUAUUUGCAUAAUAAAGCAGAAAUGCAUUAGGUAAAGUAAAAACAUGAGACAUGUAAAAGCAACUCCUGGGGAAAAAAAAGUUUUUGGGGAAAAAAGGAUAAAAAUAAACAUUUAAGAGUCAUAAAUGAAUCUACAAGGGUAAAAGCACUUUUUUUUUAAAAUGAUGAACUGUAAAUUGUGCUAAAAUCUAUAAUUUGUUGGAACUAAGAUGGAAAAAUAAAUAUGGACAUUAUAGAUGGUCAAUGAAAUUAAUAAAACAUUAGGUAAAGUUCUUACUUGAUGCCUGUUAAGUGCAUUUAUUUAUUGAGAUUUAUAUAUAUAGUUCUGUUUUUAUUUAUCAAAAAAAAAAAUUUCUGUCUGUCAGUUUUGAUUCUCAGUAAAUGUCAACACUUCUGCUUGUCUUGGACAAAUGUUUUCUUUUACACUUGAUUUAAGGCUUGUCUCAUAUUUG